rnacentral:lncRNA from 1 species
AAUAAAUUUGAUUACAUAGUUAUAUGGUCAAUUUUAAAAAAUAUAUUUUUAGAUUUGAUUAGUAUGUUAUUGUCAUUAGUGUACCAUAUGAUAUUAGUAUGUCAUUUAACAUACAACAUGGUACUAUAUUUAGCACCAAAAUUUUGUGUUUGACGAUGUAUUUUCAACUAUUCUUUUUAUAAACUUUUAAUUGGAAAAAACAAAUUUAAC